rnacentral:rRNA from 1 species
AUUGAACGCUGGCGGUAUGCUUAACACAUGCAAGUCGAACGGUAACAGGCCUUCGGGCGCUGACGAGUGACGGACGGGUGAGUAACGCGUAGGAAUCUGCCUCAUAGUGGGGGACAACGUGGGGAAACUCACGCUAAUACCGCAUACGCCCUACGGGGGAAAGCGGGGGAUCUUCGGACCUCGCGCUAUGAGAUGAGCCUGCGUUAGAUUAGCUAGUUGGUAGGGUAAAGGCCUACCAAGGCGACGAUCUAUAGCUGGUCUGAGAGGACGAUCAGCCACACUGGGACUGAGACACGGCCCAGACUCCUACGGGAGGCAGCAGUGGGGAAUAUUGGACAAUGGGCGCAAGCCUGAUCCAGCAAUACCGCGUGUGUGAAGAAGGCCCUAGGGUUGGUAAAGCACUUUCAAUUGGGAGGAAAACCGUAGCCGGUCAAUACCCGGCAGCUUGACAUACCUUUAG